UACGGAAGGCAGCAGUGGGGAAUAUUGCACAAUGGGCGAAAGCCUGAUGCAGCUAUGCCGCGUGUAUGAAGAAGGCCUUAGGGUUGUAAAGUACUUUCAUCGGGGAGGAAAAACAAAACUAAUAAUUUUAUUUCUUGACGUUACCCGAAAAAGAAGCACCGGCUAACUCCGUGCCAGCAGCCGCGGUAAUACGGAGGGUGCUAGCGUUAAUCAGAAUUACUGGGCGUAAAGAGCACGUAGGUGGUUUUUUAAGUCAGAUGUGAAAUCCCUGGGCUUAACCUAGGAACUGCAUUUUGAAACUGAAAUACUAGAGUAUCGUAGAGGGAGGUAGAAUUCUAGGGUGUAGCGGUGAAAUGCGUAGAUAUCUGGAGGAAUACCUGUGGCGAAAAGCGGCCUCCUAAACGAAUACUGAACACUGAGGUGCGAAAGCGUGGGGAGCAAAACAGGGAUUAGAUAACC
rnacentral:rRNA from 1 species